UCGUCGCAGGAUAAUAAUGGUAUAUUUGGUAAUGCUAUAAGAAUGAUGACCUACUUAUAUGAUACAAAAUUACAAUUCUUAUGUACAUCCCUGACAUGGCCUCGACAACACUCGCUUAAGUUAGGUACACACACACACACAUACAUACACGUCUGGCACACCGCACAUACACAUACACGCAUACAUAAUAGCUGCAUAUUUAUUUUUAUUUAACAUUACUAUUAUUUAUAUUACCUUUAAACGGUGCGCGCGCAGACCUAUGACGAACAUUCUAUCGUCGAUACGUUCAUAUUUUUUGUGCAAUAAAUUAAAUGAUAAACAAUUCUACCAUUAUCAUUAUUUUAUGUGAUUUUUUAAUGCUUCCUGUUUCAUCUCCUCACUUUAUUUCUUUUCUACUUUGGUCUCACUAUAAAUUUAGCUUCCUUUGAUAUAUAUAAAAAAAAACACUAAUUUUUUCCCUAGCUCACGAACAUUACUUUAUAUUCCUACACACAAGUUCUCGUAAUACUCAGCCUAAGUAGCGAUAGUAGUGGCAAUAGUUGUAGUAAUAAUAGUAGAAGUAGUAGUAGUAGUAGCGCUGCAAAGACUACGCGAAACAGCAAGUCUAAUGUUGCCUCGAUCAGCGGCCUUGAGGAAGAAUGGCUGACUCAAUGAAAUGGUGGGAAGGGAAAAAAAAGCCGUAAAAAUGAAGAGAAAAAAUCUUGAAUAUGAAGAAUGUGAAAAGGAACAUAAAAGGAAAGUCAGGUUGAGUGAAAAUGAACAAAUUGGGGAAAUCUUGAAUAUGAAGAAUGUGAAAAGGAACAUAAAAGGAAAGUCAGGUUGAGUGAAAAUGAACAAAUUGGGGAAAUCUUGAAUAUGAAGAAUGUGAAAAGGAACAUAAAAGGAAAGUCAGGUUGAGUGAAAAUGAACAAAUUGGGGAAAUCUUGAAUAUGAAGAAUGUGAAAAGGAACAUAAAAGGAAAGUCAGGUUGAGUGAAAAUGAACAAAUUGGGGAAAUCUUGAAUAUGAAGAAUGUGAAAAGGAACAUAAAAGGAAAGUCAGGUUGAGUGAAAAUGAACAAAUUGGGAUAAUCUUGAAUAUGAAGAAGAAUGUGAAAAGAAACACAGAAGGAAAGUUAGAUGGAGUGAAAAUGAACAAAUUGUGAAGUCUUGAAUAUUGAAGAAGUUGAAAAAGAAUGUGAAAAACGAAACCAAGACGAAAAAGAUGAGCAGAGUGAGCACAUACACACUAUAUAGGAAGUCUUGUAUGAAAAAAAGGGUUGACUGUUACAAAAAAAAAGUAAAAUAAAGAAAUAUAAAUCAAUUGCACUAGAACAUAACCAGACUGAGACUUUCCAAAACAAUAACAACCUUCUGAAUGGUGGACUGUUAUAAAAAGUAAAAUAAAGAAAUAUAAAUCAAUUGCAGUAUAACAUAACCAGACCGAGACUUCUGAAUUCCUCCUCUCACGAAAAAAGAAGAAGACAGCAUUACAUCAGCCUUCAAUACGUAAUCUAUGCCCAAGUAACUACCAAGUAUUGCCUAACCUCGAUAAAGCCAUAAUACUUUCACAUGCUUCCUACUUUUGACAAUCAUAGUACUGGAUCCUCUUCUGUUACUUAUAAGCUUGAUGUUCUUACGUUUCUAGUCUCUCUAAUCUAAAGUUGCAUUCACGUUGCCUAGGAAUUUAUAGACACACAGUUACAAGCUUCUUUACCAGACGUUAGACAGAGAGUAGUAGUAGUAGUAGUAGUAGUAGUAAUGUGUAGGUAGAUAAGUAGAAACAGCAGUAGUAGUAGUAAGUAGGUAGGUGGAUAAGUAGGGACAGUAGUAGUAAUGAGUAGAUAGAUAAGUAGAAACAGUAUUAGUAUAAGUAGGUAGGUGGCUAAGUAGGGACAGUAGCAGCAGUAGUAGUAGUAGUAGUAGUAGUAGUAGUAGUAGUAGUAGUAGUAGAACAGACCUAAUAAAUUUCAAUGCUAUAAUAGCGUUUUGAGGCACAAUUGUCACAGCAGACGUUUUACAGCCUGUCCACACACACACACAUACACACACACACACACACACUGGCAAGACUCGUACGUAAAGAUAAAACAAGUAGUAGUAUAUAAACAUCAGGCAGUCUUCAUAAUAAUGCAAAACACGUACAAUGUCCUCUUCUUCUCUUCCGUUUUCGUUUCCUCGCCUUAACGUGAUAAAUAACUGGUAGCAUAAUAGCGCGGUGUUGGUAUUCACAUAUCUACAGUAUAACACUUUUUUUAUAUCACUUAAUUUACUUAUCUCCAUAUAAAAAAAUCACAUACGUAUAAAAGCCAUAACAAAGAUUUCACGCACUCACGUUUUCUUUCUUCGUCUUGACACUUCGAUGCUCAGGCGAAGAUUCAUUCACUUCGUUCAGUUUUUAUUCAAUUUAUCUUCUAAUAGAAUCACAUACGUAUAAACUCCAUAACAAAGACUUUAAAACCGCUUCUUUCUUCGUCCUAACACAAGCAGGACAGAUUACGCACUUCGGUACUCUGGUGUUCGAAGACUUAUUCAGUUCCUUCUACAACUCCUAGAUGACGCACCUUCGACCUCUCCCUCUCACAAGUAUUGCUGAGUAUACACAAGUGACUGACUGACUGAAGGACUGGGUGGGUAAAGAAUAAGGCCGUGUCACACAAGCACAGAAUCCAGCACAGUAUUUCGAUUUUCUUCUACUAAAGGGGGUCGUAUUAUGAGACAUUAAGCCGCCCAAAAACACAUAUUUGACAUGGCUUUCGUAGGAGUUGUUGGCAUUUUCAGAGGUAGUUUUAUGACCCUGGCGGUAGUUUCAUCCUUCCUCUGUACCCUGAGCCUAAAAAAACACUCAUUAGAACCUGAUUGAUCACCUCUUUGACCUUUAGAUAUAGCUGAUGUGAGAAGGCAAAGUGUCUUGUAAUACGACCCAAGGAAUGGCAGAGCUGUAACCCCACGCACCUCUCACCUUCUCUCACGGCGAUGUAUACCUCACUCAACGUUGCCAGAUGGUCCCACUCAGCCUCUUAUUUUUACCUAUUUACACCUCAAAAUCUGUCUCCUGGGUUCGAAUACCAAGAUUGAUUUAUAGUUAUCGUUACAUUCGUCAAUUUCUGAUGUCUUAUGGUGAUGGUUAAGUGUCAGAAGCCGGUAAAUAUGAUAUAAUAUGUGAUAAUCUGGCACCGUUGACCUCACUGCUUCACAAACCGCUUCGGUGAGGUAAACAACACCGAUACCAAGACCAAGACCUUUUAAUCUAUUGGUCCAGCAAGAGAUUAGGGAAAAAGAAGCAGCGGGGAUACAUUUUACAACCAGAAUGAACCUUUUGGGAUAAUCGUAUAGUAUCUCUGCCCUCCUUUCCUUCCCUCAAUAUGAUUUUAACCUUACUGAAGCGUUACAAAUGGCUUAGGUGAGGUGUAUAAUGGGGCUAUUACACUGGGCAAAUUUUCCGUGGAUCUUCAGUCAAACCAUGAUUUCCGCUAGCGUGGUUCUCAUUUUUUUCUUGUUAUUGCUGAUGAUGAUGAUGGUGAGUAAUACCGUCGUCCUUCAGUGAUAUCUACCGAAGCUUUGGAAGAUCGUGGACGCGUCAGAAAACCACGGAAAUAUAAGAACCACGCCAGCGGAAAUCAUGGUUUGGCUGAAGAUCCACGGAAAAUUUUCCCAGUGUAAUAGCCCUUUUAGACAGUGAAACAAAGGAAAUAGGCGUUGGGAGUGUACAUUUUUCUACCAGUAAUCGUGUCUUUCCAUGUCCAACGAACUUCCACCUUACAAAUUGCUUUGGUUAGGUGAAGGAGACCAAGAGACAAGGGAAAGAGGCGCAGAGGGAGGAGACAACCACCCAAAGACUCGUGCUGGAGGAGACGAUCAAGGUGUGCCAGAACUGUGAUCGUGUUACAUCGCCUUUAGGGAGUUCGUGGCGGGGAUGAGGAAAAGGAUAAUAAAGGGGACGUACAUAAAAGGAGAGGUUGUGAUUCGAGGCAGGUGAGGGCAGUGACAGGUGAGGCCACAAUUAGUGAGUGUUAGUUUGUUUGUUAGUUAAGUGAGUUUGUGGUAGGGAUGUCGAUAAUAAAGAUAAAGUAUAUUAAUUAAAAGGAAAGGAUGUGAUUCAAGGCAGGUGAGGGCAGUGUCAGGUGGGAUUUUAAUUAGUAGUUAGUUAGUUAUGGUAGUUAGUAAGAUGAGAUGAGGAAGAUAACAGAGGGGAGUAUAUGAAGGGGAAUGUCAAGGGGAGUUUUCAUAAAUAAAGUUAGUUAGUUUGUGGUUUAAGGUAAGGAUGAAGAUGAUAAAGCGAAGGUGUAUCAAGGGGAAGGUUGUGAUUCUAGCAGGUAAGUGAAAUGUCAGGUGAGUCUCAGUGGGUAACCUUUGUGAUUCUUGAGGUGAGUUGACGAUGAAGGUGAAGAGAAAUACUGUGAUUCUUGAGUCCACGCAGAUGAUGGUUACAGAGGAGGAGGAGGAGGAGAAAAAGAAGGAAAUGGAGGAGGAUUGUGAUUCGUAAGUGAGCAAGAGAGAGAGAAAAAAAAACUUGUAAUUCUUGAGUGUUGAAACAUUAAGAAAAGGAAGAAGAAAAAGAAGAAAGAAAAAAAACAGUCUACUUUCUACUACACACGAAAUGGAAAGAAUUAAAAAGAAAGAAAAAUGCGAAAUGUGAUAGAAAGAAAGGAAGGAAAAAGAAGAAGUAUAUAAAAAAGAAUGAAAAAAACGAAAGAAAAAGAAAAGCAAGAAGGCAAAGUAUAAAAAGGAAAGGAAAAAAGCAAAUUAUAAAAAAAGGAAGGAAAGAAAGAAAGGGAAGACAAAGUACAAAAAAAAGAAUGAAAAGAAAACGAAGGAAAAAGAUAGGAAAGAAAGAAGGAAACGUAUAAAAAGGGGAGGAAAAAAAAAAGCAAAUUAUUAAAAAAGGAAGGAAAUAGAAAGAAAGACAAGGAAAGACUUUAAGACUUGCACACGACGGGGAAACUAAAUAAUAAUAAUAAUAAUAAUAAUAAUAAUAAUAAUAAUAAUAAUAAUAAUGAUAAUGAUAAUAAUAACAAUAACA